UACGUAGGGUGCAAGCGUUAAUCGGAAUUACUGGGCGUAAAGCGUGCGCAGGCGGUUGUGCAAGACCGAUGUGAAAUCCCCGGGCUCAACCUGGGAAUGGCAUUGGUGACUGUACGGCUAGAGUGUGUCAGAGGGGGGUAGAAUUCCACGUGUAGCAGUGAAAUGCGUAGAUAUGUGGAGGAAUACCGAUGGCGAAGGCAGCUCGCUGGGACGGUACUGACGCUGAGACGCGAAAGCGUGGGGGAGCAAACAGG
rnacentral:rRNA from 1 species